rnacentral:rRNA from 1 species
AGUGAACGCUGGCGGUAGGCCUAACACAUGCAAGUCGAACGGCAGCACAGUAAGAGCUUGCUCUUACGGGUGGCGAGUGGCGGACGGGUGAGGAAUACAUCGGAAUCUACUUUUUCGUGGGGGAUAACGUAGGGAAACUUACGCUAAUACCGCAUACGACCUACGAGUGAAAGCAGGGGAUCUUCGGACCUUGCGCGAUUGAAUGAGCCGAUGUCGGAUUAGCUAGUUGGCGGGGUAAAGGCCCACCAAGGCGACGAUCCGUAGCUGGUCUGAGAGGAUGAUCAGCCACACUGGAACUGAGACACGGUCCAGACGCCUACGGGAGGCAGCAGUGGGGAAUAUUGGACAAUGGGCGCAAGCCUGAUCCAGCCAUACCGCGUGGGUGAAGAAGGCCUUCGGGUGGUAAAGCCCUUUUGUUGGGAAAGAAAAGCAGCAGGUUAAUACCCCGCUGUUCUGACGGUACCCAAAGAAUAAGCACCGGCUAACUUCGU